rnacentral:rRNA from 1 species
AUGGUACGCAAGCGCCCGGCUCCGGACGUCGACCUGCCCCCGCCCCGGCGCCAUGUGACCGGGGACCUCUCCGACGUCACCGCUGCUACGGGCGGAGCAGCGCCCCCGCAGCAGCUCCCGUCGGCGGUGGCAGGGAGCGCGCAGCUGCCCGCGCUGCCGAUGCAGCUGCCGGCGUUCGGCGGCCACCUGCAGGCGCCAGUGCCGGCGAUGGACGUCGUUGUCGCACCGCAGGUCGCGACGGAGGUUAACGUCAACAAUGACAGCACGGCGUGGGUGGACGGCAUCAUCCGGGACAUCAUCGGCAGCAGCGGCGCCGCGGUCUCCGUCGCGCAGCUCAUCCACAACGUCCGGGAGAUCAUCCACCCAUGUAACCCCGGACUCGCUUCACUUCUAGAGCUACGCCUCCGCUCGCUCCUCGCAUCCGACCUUGUCCAGCACCCGCCGCCACCUCCUCCUCUUCCUCCACAUCAUCCGCCCUCGCUCCUACCCGGUGCCGGUGGCAACACGAUACUCUCCGCCCCGCCAGUGCCGGCGCUCCCUCCGCCGCCACCUCCCGACAAGCGGCGCCGGGAGGAGGAGCAGCAGAACCCGCCGCCGCAGUCGCCGAAGCCGCCCCCUUCCGCGGAGGAAACCGCCGCGGCCGCCGCAGCCGCUGCAGCGGCAGCUUCCGCCGCCUUGAAGGAGCGGAAAGAGGAGCAGCGGAGGAGGCAGCGCGACGAGGAGGGUCUCCAUCUGCUGACGCUCCUUCUGCAGUGCGCCGAGUCCGUCAACUCCGACGACCUCGACGAGGCCCAGCGCGCCCUGCUGGAGAUCGCGGAGCUGGCCACCCCGUUCGGCACCUCCACGCAGCGCGUCGCCGCCUACUUCGCGGAGGCCAUGUCGGCCCGCCUCGUCAGCUCCUGCCUCGGCCUCUACGCGCCGCUCCCCAACGCGUCGUCCCCCGCCGCGUCCCGCCUCGUCAACUCGCGCGUCGCCGCGGCGUUCCAGGUGUUCAACGGCAUCAGCCCCUUCGUCAAGUUCUCGCACUUCACGGCGAACCAGGCCAUCCAGGAGGCGUUCGAGCGGGAGGACCGCGUCCACAUCGUGGACCUCGACAUCAUGCAGGGGCUCCAGUGGCCGGGACUGUUCCACAUCCUCGCCUCCCGCCCGGGCGGCCCGCCCAGGGUCAGGCUCACCGGGCUCGGCGCGUCCAUGGAGGCGCUGGAGGCCACCGGGAAGCGGCUGUCGGACUUCGCCCACACGCUGGGCCUGCCGUUCGAGUUCUACCCGGUGGCGGGCAAAGCUGGGAAUCUUGAUCCGGAGAAGCUCGGCGUCGACACGCGGCGGCGCGAGGCUGUUGCCGUCCACUGGCUCCACCACUCGCUCUACGACGUCACCGGCAACGACUCCAACACACUCAACCUCAUCCAAAGGUUGGCGCCGAAGGUGGUGACAAUGGUGGAGCAGGACCUGAGCCACUCUGGCUCCUUUCUGGCCCGCUUCGUGGAGGCCAUCCACUACUACUCGGCGCUCUUCGACUCGCUGGACGCGAGCUAUAGCGAAGACAGCUCGGAGCGGCACGUCGUGGAGCAGCAGCUGCUGGCGAGGGAGAUCCGCAAUGUGCUGGCCGUGGGUGGCCCGGCGCGGACCGGAGACAUCAAGUUCGGAAACUGGCGGGAGAAGCUCGCGCAGUCGGGGUUCCGUGCGGCGUCGCUGGCGGGCAGCGCCGCCGCGCAGGCUUCGCUGCUGCUCGGCAUGUUCCCCUCCGAUGGCUACACUCUCGUCGAGGAGAAUGGCACUCUGAAGCUUGGAUGGAAGGAUCUUUGCUUGCUCACUGCAUCUGCUUGGCGCCCAUUUCAGGCCUUAGGCCGUUAG